UACGUAGGGUGCGAGCGUUAAUCGGAAUUACUGGGCGUAAAGUGUGCGCAGGUGGCCGCGCAAGUCGAGUGUGAAAUCCCUCGGCUUAACCGGGGAACUGCGUCUGAUACUGGAUGGCUUGAGUUUGGGAGAGGGAUGCGGAAUUCCAGGUGUAGCGGUGAAAUGCGUAGAUAUCUGGAGGAACACCGGUGGCGAAGGCGGCAUCCUGGACCAACACUGACACUGAGGAGCGAAAGCCAGGGGAGCAAACGGG
rnacentral:rRNA from 1 species